GACAGAGGGGGCAAGCGUUGCUCGGAAUCACUGGGCGUAAAGGGCGCGUAGGCGGGAUGGCAAGUCGGUCGUGAAAUCUCUCGGCUCAACCGAGAAACGUCGGCCGAUACUGCCGUUCUUGAGGGAUGCAGAGGAGACUGGAAUUCCCGGUGUAGCGGUGAAAUGCGCAGAUAUCAGGAGGAACACCGGUGGCGAAGGCGGGUCUCGUGGACAGUUCC
rnacentral:rRNA from 1 species